AAAACACAAACACACCUAGUUUCUACACAUCGCUCCCAUCAUCUACUCUACCCUAGUUCUACCAAUUAAUUUCUCAUCUCCUCAGAUUCUUCUCUUGUUCAUCAAAAACCUCUCAAGGUUCAAUAUGAAACCAUCAUAGACUGAAAAUGAGGUAGGAUCAACUAUGAAGACUACUACCAGAUAUGCAUUUGUUGCGCCAGGUGCUAUAGGUGCUAUAGGAAAGGGACGAGGACGAGGAGGGCUUAGAUCUUUGAUUGAGAAAGAGAAUAUGCCAACUAAGAGUUUAUUUCCUGAAUAUAGUGAUAUAGUUAAGCAAUAUAUCCAAGAAAUUGCAACAAGUGCUAUAGGGAAGGGACGAGGACAAGGGCUUAAAAGCUCUACGAGGUCUGCUAGUCAAGGAAUGAGAAUGAUAUAUAAAAAUUCCAUGGUUCUUGAGAAAGAGUAUAUGCAAUUUGAUAGUCCAUUGCCUCCAUCUGCUGAUCAAGUUAAGCAAUAUACCCAAAAAGUUGAAAUCAGUGCUCCAGGGAUGGGACGAGGACAAGGUCUUAAAAACUCUACAGUGUCUCCUAGUCAAGGAAUGGGAAUGAUACAUAAAAAUUCCAUGGUUCUUGAGAAAUAGUAUAUGCAAUUUGAUAGUCCAUUUCCUCCAUCCACUGAUCAAGUUAAGCAAUACACUCAAAAAGUUGAAAUAAAAUUUGUUUCCUGAGAUGGGUAAACAAGGAUAGACCAAGGAGGAAAUCAAAUGUCAUUAUUACGAACAAGGAUCACCCCUCCAGCAGCAAAUAUUGUUCUGAUGAGCACUCGUUACAAGGCUCACAUAGGACAGAGAUUGAAGAACUGAAUUUUCCCUCUUCAACAUCACUUAAACCUAAAAAGAGAAUUUCUGAAUUUUCAGAAACUUCUCGCAGAAGUCAUAGAAUGGUGAAGAAGAACAAUUAUGGGGAUCUUGUGGAUAUUAUUCCGGGUUCAGAUAAACAUAAAUCUCGAAUACCAGCUCAUCAGGAACCUGAAUCUUCAGCUCAAUUUUACAACUUGGAUGUUGAAAUGCCUGAAAUCUCUGUGAACAACAGGAAUGGAUCUUGUUGUAGCUGCUAUGAGUUGGAGCCAAGUAGCAUAGAGCUAGAUGGUAUUGAGGAAAUUGAAGUCAACAGACUUCUUGUUAAUGGUGAUCAGAGUUUACAUGUCGAAGGUGCCUCGUCUAACCUCACUGGAAAUCAACAAGAGCCAUGCCAAGCUGUUGAUGGGGUCCAAAAUGAGAGUGAUAAUAUGUGCAAAUUGUCUACAUCAACCGCAUUAUCCUGUAUCAUAUGUUGGAUAGAUUUUAGUUCAUCCAGGGGGGUGCUUCCCUAUGGUCAUCGUUUUUGUUUCUCAUGCAUCUAGACGUGGGCCAAUCGUAUGGCAUCAAGCAAAAAAGUUUCAACAUGCCCUCUGUGCAAGGCUAUUUUUGUUGCCAUUAGAAAGGUUGAUGAUGCAAUUCCUGCUGAUCAGAAGAUAUACACACAAACUAUUCCGGACCACAACCCAAAAAUGGACAUAUAUAUACUUCCCGUGGGUGAAACACCAAGAUUCCCUUCUAAUGCGAGAAGUAACAGGAAUGCACCAAAUCGAGCUAAGUUGAAGAUGCCUCAUCAUAUUGGUAGCAAGCCUAUUCGAGAGAUUAUUUAUCAAAAGCCUUGAUGAUUUUGUUGGAUGACACCUAAUGAAUUUAUUAGAUUGAUUUUGGGGUUUUGAAGAUUGAAUUUGACAAGUCAAGAUGGAAGUUUAGAAGAUGCACAAGCUCAUUAUUUUGCUAGGAAUGUUAUGCACUCGCUAUCGUAGUCUAGCUCGAGUGUUAGCAAUGUUUUUUUGUUAAGGUGUCGAGCAAAUAUUGAAACUAACAUCAUGGAAUGUUAACAAUUUGACUGUAAUUAAUAACUCUAUCUUCCUCUUUAUAUAUAUAAUGCUUUUGUA